rnacentral:lncRNA from 1 species
CUAAAGUCAAGAGGUAUAAUGGAAUUGAAGACUAAGUUUAAUGUGCUCUUAAUAUUUCAAUUAACCAUUUUAACUUGAAGAAGAUUCCUGAAAACGGAUAUUUUAUGCGAAAAUCGUAUCUUUUAGAGGUUGGUCGAAGAUGGUCGAAGGCAAGGUCUUCAAUAUCCUCAAAAGUUAUGAAAACAAUUUUAUAUCGCUCUGUAAGUGUUAUGACAGUUAGCGUACGACUGACUAUAUAUUAUUUAAUUGCAAGAAGUCCCAGAAAGCUAGGCGUUUGGUACUGAAUAUAUAGGGGUGUAUGGCUAAGGACCUUAUUGAUUUAUUCCAGGCGGGAGCAAGGAAGUAAUUAAAUCAAAAUUGAUAAAAAAGUAAAUAUUAAACCUCAAGAAACAUGUAGAGCAUUAAAGAUGGGUAGUUUUUUGUUCGAUUUUCAAAGAUUUCACUACUAUUUCAUUGAACAGCACUUUUCAUUGGUAUUUUUGUAAAGUCAUGUAAAACAUGAAGAUGGAAUGCAAAUGUUCCAGAAUCAGGUUUCUAGUGUGUACAUUUCAAGCUUUCUAAAAAGGUAUCACUUGUUUAAUUUGGAUGAUUGAAAAUGUCUUAAAAAUAGUUUUGAAAGUGGUGAGGUGCGGCACUGCUAGUUCAUUGCACACAGAUGUACAUCUACAACACUUCUCACGCCAACACGCUCCGUUAGCGCGCCCCCCUUCCCUAGACCCACACACUAACGGCAGAGGCAGCGCCCGCUCACAAAAAAAAAAACAAAUAUAAAAAAGGUUAAAAAUCGGCAGAGCGACGGCAGAGGCAGAGGUCUCAUAAUGCAGAAGCAGAGUGCGAAUAAAAGAAUGUGCAAAAAACAAAUAUAAGCUACGGAACGGGGUGGGUUUAGCCCAUGGAAAUUAAUUUCCGUUAUGGCUAUAAUAAUGAUCCAACCGGAUCCCCAUUUGGUGAUCUGAUAGAUAUGGGCAUUCCCUACGGAAUGGCCUUUUUAGUUUUCAUGUAUCUUCAAAAUUGUAGAUUUGGGAGGUUUUCGCCUAUUUGCGGGGAGGAAGGGGGCGUGGCUCAUUUUCUUAAAUACCCUUGUAACAGUGUGAGCAUGCAGAAGUCUGGAUGCAAAAUUUGGUGGCUCUAGCUAUUAUAGUCUCUGAGUACUAGGCGCUCAACAAGACGGACAGACAGACGGACAGACAGACAUGGCUCUAUCGUCUCGGCUAUUGAUGCUGAUAAAGAAUAUAUAUACUUUAUGGGGUCGGAAACGUUUCCUUCUGUGCGUUACAUACAACCGUUAUUCGCACAAAUACAAUAUACCCUAUUUAUUCUUCGAGUACCGGGUAUAAUAACCCAAAAAAUCGCUUAUCAGAGCAAUCAUUAUUUUAGCUUACGAGUGACAAGAUUUCGUGUAUUGCUCUCUUCUUCACACGCUCCAGUCACAUCAAUGACACUACACAAUUAUCCAAGUGAACUUUCUGACUGCUGCUUACUUGUAAUUAGAAAUGGUCCAGAAGGCUCACUGAAUAAGCAGCGGAUUACGAUAGCAGAGAAGCAGCAGCAGCAGAAGGAAAAGAGAGCAACGGCAUAAAAGCAUAUUAACGAUAGAAAAGCAGCAACAGCAAAAGUAGAAAAUAGAGAAAAAAGGAGUCAUUCACAAAAGCAAAGUCGCAGAGUCAAUGUCAAAAUCAGCCAGCAGCAUAAAGUAUCCGAAGAGAUAAUUAUAUUGAUCUUUAGAUUAAUCCUUAGGCUAAUCCUCACAUAAAUCCCUAG